rnacentral:rRNA from 1 species
UGCAGUCGAACGAUGAUGCCCAGCUUGCUGGGCGGAUUAGUGGCGAACGGGUGAGUAAUACGUGAGUAACCUGCCCUUGACUCUGGGAUAAGCCUGGGAAACUGGGUCUAAUACUGGAUACUACCUCGCACCGCAUGGUGGGUGGUGGAAAGGGUUUUACUGGUUUUGGAUGGGCUCACGGCCUAUCAGCUUGUUGGUGGGGUAAUGGCUCACCAAGGCGACGACGGGUAGCCGGCCUGAGAGGGUGACCGGCCACACUGGGACUGAGACACGGCCCAGACUCCUACGGGAGGCAGCAGUGGGGAAUAUUGCACAAUGGGCGGAAGCCUGAUGCAGCGACGCCGCGUGAGGGAUGACGGCCUUCGGGUUGUAAACCUCUUUCAGUAGGGAAGAAGCGAGAGUGACGGUACCUGCAGAAGAAGCGCCGGCUAACUACGUGCCAGCAGCCGCGGUAAUACGUAGGGCGCAAGCGUUGUCCGGAAUUAUUGGGCGUAAAGAGCUCGUAGGCGGUUUGUCGCGUCUGCUGUGAAAGCCCGGGGCUCAACCCCGGGUCUGCAGUGGGUACGGGCAGACUAGAGUGCAGUAGGGGAGACUGGAAUUCCUGGUGUAGCGGUGAAAUGCGCAGAUAUCAGGAGGAACACCGAUGGCGAAGGCAGGUCUCUGGGCUGUUACUGACGCUGAGGAGCGAAAGCAUGGGGAGCGAACAGGAUUAGAUACCCUGGUAGUCCAUGCCGUAAACGUUGGGCACUAGGUGUG